UAAGUUUAGGCUCAAAAUCAGGCAAAGGUUACUAACCAUCAGAGGUGUGAAGUUCUGGAACAGCCUUCCCAGGGGAGCAUUGGGAACAACAAAA